rnacentral:rRNA from 1 species
AACCUUUACACUGCACGCCAGUGCGAUAAGGGGAUCCCGAGUGCGCAGGCAUAGAGCCUGCGCUUUUCUGAACCGUAGGAAGGUUCAGGAACAAGAGCUGGGCAAGACCGGUGCCAGCCGCCGCGGUAAUACCGGCAGCUCGAGUGAUGGCCGAUCUUAUUGGGCCUAAAGCGUCCGUAGCUGGCCUUGCAAGUCCGUCGGGAAAUCCACCCGCUCAACGGGUGGGCGUCCGGCGGAAACUGCAAGGCUUGGGACCGGGAGGCUUGAAGGGUACGUCCGGGGUAGGAGUGAAAUCCCGUAAUCCUGGACGGACCGCCGAUGGGGAAACCACUUCAAGAGAACGGAUCCGACAGUGAGGGACGAAAGCUAGGGUCUCGAACCGGAUUAGAUACCCGGGUAGUCCUAGCCGUAAACAAUGCCUGCUAGGUGUGGCUCCCACUACGAGUGGGUGCUGUGCCGUAGGGAAGCCGCUAAGCAGGCCGCCUGGGAAGUACGUCCGCAAGGAUGAAACUUAA